rnacentral:rRNA from 1 species
CGCGUGAGCAACCUGUCCUUCACAGGGGGAUAACACAGCGAAAGUUGUACUAAUACCGCAUGAGACCACACUGGGACAUCCCAGAGGGGUCAAAGGAGCAAUCCGGUGAAGGGUGGGCUCGCGUCCGAUUAGAUAGUUGGUGAGGUAACGGCCCACCAAGUCGACGAUCGGUAGCCGACCUGAGAGGGUGAUCGGCCACAUUGGGACUGAGACACGGCCCAAACUCCUACGGGAGGCAGCAGGUGGGGAAUAUUGGGCAAAGUGGGGGAAACCCUGACCCAGCAACGCCGCGUGAGGGAAGAAGGUUUCGGAUCGUAAACCUCUGUCCUUGGUGAAGAGUAAGAGACGGUAGCCAAGGAGGAAGCCCCGGCUAACUACGUGCCAGCCGCCGC